CUGGGGGAACUUACUGCUGCAUUCUCUUCUGCCUUUGCCUCUUUUCCCUUUACGUUCUUAGCAGCCUAGGUAGGGAGAUUCCCUCCUCCUCAGAGAGUCCUCAGGGUGGCAGUGUGUUGACCUGGAAGUGAGCUGGUAGAAAAAGGAGCACCCUGGAGCAUCCAGAUGGCACAUGGCCCACCCCUGGAACAGAGGCAGGCUGCGGGCACCACGGAGCAGCUUCCAGCUGUGCCCGGCUGCCACUUCCCAGGGACUCAACGCAGCUUCCAAGUUGCCCGCAAGAGCAGAACAUUCUGCAGUUGUCCGUCCUCAAAGCCACAGAUCCUCGAGGCAACAUCAGCCGAGUUUAUAAGGGAAGAUAAGUGCUGAAAGAUCGCAUUUCAAUAUCUCGUAGCUAUUGGUCUUAAAAGCAUUCAUGAAAGGACAGAUCCUGGAGGUCAGCUCCCUCACUGCUAAUUCGUUCACCAAAGAUGACUUUCCAAGUCUGUUCAGCCAGUAAAAAAAAGAUCAAAACCAUUUCAACACCA